AUUGAACGCUGGCGGCAGGCCUAACACAUGCAAGUCGAGCGGGGUAGCAAUACCUAGCGGCGAACGGGUGAGUAAUGCAUGGGAAUCUGCCCUGUAGUGGGGGAUAACGUUCCGAAAGGAACGCUAAUACCGCAUACGCCCUGAGGGGGAAAGUGGGGGACCGCAAGGCCUCACGCUAUAGGAUGAGCCCAUGGCGGAUUAGCUAGUUGGUGAGGUAAAGGCACACCAAGGCGACGAUCCAUAGCUGGUCUGAGAGGAUGAUCGGCCACACGGGAACUGAGACACGGUCCAGACUCCUACGGGAGGCAGCAGUGGGGAAUAUUGGGCAAUGGGCGAAAGCCUGACCCAGCCAUGCCGCGUGUGUGAAGAAGGCCUUCGGGUUGUAAAGCACUUUAAGCGAGGAGGAAGGUCUGCUGGCUAAUAUCCAGUGAAAUUGACGUUACUCGCAGAAUAAGCACCGGCUAACUCUGUGCCAGCAGCCGCCGUAA
rnacentral:rRNA from 1 species